rnacentral:rRNA from 1 species
AACGCGAAGAACCUUACCUGGAUUUGACAUCCUCUGAAACUAGUAGAGAUAUUAGUGGCCCGCAAGGGACAGAGAGACAGGUGCUGCAUGGCUGUCGUCAGCUCGUGUUGUGAAAUGUUGGGUUAAGUCCCGCAACGAGCGCAACCCUUGCCUUUGGUUGCCAUCAUUCAGUUGGGCACUCCAGAGGGACUGCCGUCGUCAAGACGGAGGAAGGUGGGGAUGACGUCAAGUCCUCAUGGCCUUUAUAUCCAGGGCGACACACGUGAUACAAUGGUAGGUACAAAGGGCAGCCAAGUGGUAACACGGAGCAAAUCCCAAAAAGCCUAUCUCAGUUCGGAUUGGAGUCUGCAACUCGACUCCAUGAAGUUGGAAUCGCUAGUAAUCGCGGAUCAGCACGCCGCGGUGAAUACGUUCCCGGGCCUUGUACACACCGUGUCGA